rnacentral:rRNA from 1 species
AUUGAACGCUGGCGGAAUGCUUUACACAUGCAAGUCGAACGGCAGCACGGGGGCAACCCUGGUGGCGAGUGGCGAACGGGUGAGUAGUACAUCGGAACGUGCCCAGUCGUGGGGGAUAACGUAGCGAAAGUUACGCUAAUACCGCAUACGAUCUACGGAUGAAAGCGGGGGACCGUAAGGCCUCGCGCGAUUGGAGCGGCCGAUGUCAGAUUAGGUAGUUUGUGAGGUAAAGGCUCACCAAGCCGACGAUCUGUAGCUGGUCUGAGAGGACGACCAGGCAAACUGGGACUGAGACACGGCCCAGCAGCCUACGGGAGGCAGCAGUGGGGAAUUUUGGACAAUGGACGCAAGUCUGAUCCAGCCAUUCCGCGUGCAGGAUGAAGGCCCUCGGGUUGUAAACUGCUUUUGUACGGAACGAAAAGGUCUCUCUUAAUACGGGGGGCUCAUGACGGUACCGUAAGAAUAAGCACCGGCUAACUACGUGCCAGCCGCCGCCGUAA